AGAGUUUGAUCCUGGCUCAGAUUGAACGCUGGCGGUAUGCUUAACACAUGCAAGUCGAACGGAAACGAAACUAGCUUGCUAGUAGGCGUCGAGUGGCGGACGGGUGAGUAACGCGUAGGAAUCUGCCUGAUAGUGGGGGAUAGCCCGAAGAAAUUCGGAUUAAUACCGCAUAAUCUAUUCGUAGUAAAGUGGGGGACUUUCGAGCCUCACGCUAUCAGAUGAGCCUGCGUAAGAUUAGCUUGUUGGUAGGGUAAAAGCCUACCAAGGCAACGAUCUUUAGCUGGUCUGAGAGGAUGAUCAGCCACAUCGGGACUGAGACACGGCCCGAACUCCUACGGGAGGCAGCAGUGGGGAAUAUUGGACAAUGGGGGCAACCCUGAUCCAGCAAUACCGCGUGUGUGAAGAAGGCCUGAGGGUUGUAAAGCACUUUCAAUUGUGAAGAAAAGUUAACGGUUAAUAACCGUUGACCUUGACGUUAACUUUAGAAGAAGCACCGGCUAACUCCGUGCCAGCAGCCGCGGUAAUACGGAGGGUGCAAGCGUUAAUCGGAAUUACUGGGCGUAAAGCGUGCGUAGGCGGUUUAUUAAGUCAGAUGUGAAAGCCCCGGGCUUAACCUGGGAACUGCAUUUGAAACUGGUCAACUAGAGUAUGGUAGAGGAAAGUGGAAUUUCUGGUGUAGCGGUGAAAUGCGUAGAUAUCAGAAGGAACAUCAAUGGCGAAGGCAGCUUUCUGGACCAAUACUGACGCUGAGGUACGAAAGCGUGGGUAGCAAACAGGAUUAGAUACCCUGGUAGUCCACGCCGUAAACGAUGAUAACUAGCCGUUGGGGGGAUUUACCCCUUAGUGGCGAAGCUAACGCGUUAAGUUAUCCGCCUGGGGAGUACGGCCGCAAGGCUAAAACUCAAAGGAAUUGACGGGGACCCGCACAAGCGGUGGAGCAUGUGGUUUAAUUCGAUGCAACGCGAAGAACCUUACCUGGUCUUGACAUCCUGCGAACUUUCUAGAAAUAGAUUGGUGCCUUCGGGAACGCAGUGACAGGUGCUGCAUGGCUGUCGUCAGCUCGUGUCGUGAGAUGUUGGGUUAAGUCCCGUAACGAGCGCAACCCCUAUUUUUAGUUACCAGCGAGUAAUGUCGGGAACUCUAGAAAAACUGCCUGGGCAACCAGUGAGGAAGGUGGGGAUGACGUCAAAUCAUCACGGCCCUUAUGUCUUGGGCUACACACGUGCUACAAUGGUUACUACAAUGUGAUGCCAUCUGGUGACAGAGAGCUAAUCAAUAAAGGUAAUCUCAGUUCGGAUCGGAGUCUGCAACUCGACUCUGUGAAGUUGGAUUCGCUAGUAAUCGUAUAUCAGCAAUGAUACGGUGAAUACGUUCCCGGGCCUUGUACACACCGCCCGUCAAGCCAUGGAAGUUUGGGGUACCUGAAGUCAGUAACCGUAAGGAACUGCCUAGGGUAAAACAAAUAACUAGGGCUAAGUCGUAACAAGGUAACC
rnacentral:rRNA from 1 species